GGAUCCCGAAUCGGCGGCAUCUCCCUUCUGGGUUAAUGGGUGAUGUAAAAACAGGUUCUAAAAGAGUCGAAAUUACGUUUUUCUAUUCAAAGAUAGUUGAAGUCAUGUGAUGGUAACCUUUAUGGAAUGUGUAUAUGUAAAUUUUAGAUAAUAUUUUUAUGCUAUAGUACUCGAUUUUACAUUUAAAUAUAAGCUUGUCUAGAAAAAUGUAAAAACCUAACGUUGAUUUUGAUUAAAAAGGCCAAUUCCAUAAAGAAUUCCGACUGCCACUACCCCAGCUGUCUAAAAAAAGCUGAUUGUAGAAUUUAAAAAAAAAAAAAACUAAAACUGGAUUUGGAAGUCUGAUACAUUUGUAAUUCCUAUGAACUGCUUGCUUAAGCCCUGAAAAGAUGGAAUCAGUCAAAGGAAAGAUAAGAAGAAAAGAUUUUAUUCUGUCAGAAGCUAAGUAGUAACAUCUUUAAUAAUUAUAUGCUCUUAUCAACUUGUUUAAGAGACAGUAUGAAGAGAAACGAAGUAUGAAGCCUCAUUCCUAUGUGGAGACUCCAGUACUCCAUACCCUUGUUUGUCAACAGUGCUUUUUCUGAUGGACUAUGACUGAUGAACACUUCUG